UUCACGAGUACCACGAUCUAUCGAAACGGUUUAUCCUCGUCCAUCCGGCUGCCCUCGUAGUCUCAUUUCUCUCCCUCUACACCUUUGUGUUGGUUUGCUUCCCAUGGAAGAUGCUUGUGAUGUAUGCACUCUU